UACGUAGGGUGCAAGCGUUGUCCGGAUUUAUUGGGCGUAAAGAGCUCGUAGGCGGUUUGUCGCGUCUGCUGUGAAAACUGGAGGCUCAACCUCCAGCCUGCAGUGGGUACGGGCAGACUAGAGUGCGGUAGGGGAGACUGGAAUUCCUGGUGUAGCGGUGAAAUGCGCAGAUAUCAGGGAGGGAACACCGGUGGGCCGAAAGGCGGGUCUCUGGG
rnacentral:rRNA from 1 species